rnacentral:snRNA from 1 species
AUACUUACCUGGUAGGAGAGAUACCAUGAUCACGAAGGUGGUUCUCUCAGGCCGAGGCUCAGCCAUUGCACUCUGGCUUUUGCUGACAGCCUGCAAAUUCCCCAAAUGUGGGAAUGUCGACUACAUAAUUUCUGGUAGUGGGGACUGCGUUCGCGCUCUCCCCUC